rnacentral:tRNA from 1 species
GCAUUGUUAGUGCAGUGGUAACAUGUUCGUCCUUGUGCUUAAAGGAUCCGGGUUCAAAUCCCGGCAAUGCG